rnacentral:rRNA from 1 species
GGGUCAGUAGGUUGGUCGUGCCACCGGUACGUACUGGUCUCACUGAUUCCUCCUUCCUGAAGAACCGUAAUGCCCUUAAUUUGGUGUUGCGGGGAAACAGGACUGUUACUUUGAAAAAAUUAGAGUGUUUAAAGCAAGCUAACGCUUGAAUACAUUAGCAUGGAAUAAUGAAAUAGGACGAUCGAUCCUAUUUUGUUGGUUUCUAGGAUUGACGUA